rnacentral:rRNA from 1 species
CCUACGGGUGGCAGCAGUGGGGAAUAUUGCGCAAUGGGCGAAAGCCUGACGCAGCGACGCCGCGUGAGGGAUGAAGGUCUUCGGAUCGUAAACCUCUGUCAGCAGGGAAGAACGGUCACUGUGCUAAUCAGCAGUGAAUUGACGGUACCUGCAAACGAAGCACCGGCUAACUCCGUGCCAGCCGCCGCGGUAAUACGGAGGGUGCGAGCGUUAAUGGGAAUUACUGGGCGUAAAGCGCUCGUAGGCGGUAUGUCAAGUCAAGGGGGAAAUCCCCGCGCUCAACGUGGGAACUGCCUUUGAAACUGGCAAACUGGAGUGUGUGAGAGGAUAGUGGAAUUCCAGGUGUAGGAGUGAAAUCCGUAGAUAUCACGCAGAACACCGAUUGCGAAGGCAUCUCACGAGUCCGCGAUUGACGCUGAGGCACGAAAGCGUGGGUAUCAAACAGGAUUAGAUACCCGAGUAGUC